GACGAACGCUGGCGGCGUGCUUAACACAUGCAAGUCGAACGGAAAGGCCCUGCUUUUGUGGGGUGCUCGCGUGGCGAACGGGUGAGUAACACGUGAGUAACCUGCCCUUGACUUUGGGAUAACUUCAGGAAACUGGGGCUAAUACCUGAUAGGAGCUCCUGCUGCAUGGUGGGGGUUGGAAAGUUUCGGCGGUUGGGGAUGGACUCGCGGCUUAUCAGCUUGUUGGUGGGGUAGUGGCUUACCAAGGCUUUGACGGGUAGCCGGCAUGAGAGGGUGACCGGCGACAUGGGGACUGAGAUACGGCGCAGACUGCUACGGGAGGCAGCAGGGGGGAAUAUUGCACAAUGGGCGGAAGCCUGAUGCAGCAACGCCGCGUGCGGGAUGACGGCCUUCGGGUUGUAAACCGCUUUCGCCUGUGACGAAGCGUGUGUGACGGUAAUGGGUAAAGAAGCACCGGCUAACUACGUG
rnacentral:rRNA from 1 species